rnacentral:lncRNA from 1 species
AGUUCACAUAGACCAGGCUUCCUCUUUAGAGGCAUAAGCUGUAAAACAGGAGAGUCUGUUUUAAGAGGAUCUGUUUGAAGUUUAAUGUAACUGAAGUCCAUGCACCUGAAGCCAUUAAUUGAUAUAAGUGAAGUAAGUCUUUGGGUUUCCGGUAGCUCUGACUCAGAUUCUGCUUGCCUCUUCUCCAUGAGAUUACCAAGGCAUCAGGGCAGAGACUCCCUGAGGAUGAGUGGAUCUGGUUCAGAACAUCUGUGAACACAGAGGGAGUGGAAACUUCACUUUCAACAUCAUCAGCCAACUUCCCUCCCAUUACAAUUCUAUCUCAAGAUCAAGGUCAUGCAACAAAACCAGCAGCUUGGAUCUCACUUGUACGUGUGCCUGGAAUGUCCUUCUCACCCCCACUACUAUCUAACUGGUGAUACUUCAAACUUUCUGAAGAUCAGAGUUUCCACUACCCUGCCCCACAAAGGCAAUGGAGUGUGGCCUUUUCACAGUAUAACUAUGGCUGACAACAAAUAAAAAAUAAUGAAAUAA